rnacentral:rRNA from 1 species
UACAGAGAGCUGCAAGCGUUUAUUCGGGAAUUCACUGGGCGUAAAGGGUGGCGCAGGCGGCCAAAGUGUGUUAGGCGUGAAAGCCCGGGGCUUAACCCCGGAAUUGACACCUAAACUACAUGGCUAGAGCAUUGGAGAGGGUGAGACGGAAUUCACGGGUGUAGCAGUGAAAUGCGUAGAGUAGUCGUGAGGAACACCAGGAGGCGAAGGCGGUGAAGCUGGGCAGUGAGCUGACACUGAGGCGCGACAGCGUGGGGAGCAAACAGG